rnacentral:rRNA from 1 species
AACUUUCAACAACGGAUCUCUUGGUUCUGGCAUCGAUGAAGAACGCAGCGAAAUGCGAUAAGUAAUGUGAAUUGCAGAAUUCAGUGAAUCAUCGAAUCUUUGAACGCACAUUGCGCCCCUUGGAACUCCGGGGGGCAUGCCUGUUCGAGCGUCAUUA